rnacentral:rRNA from 1 species
GAGGAAUAUUGGUCAAUGGGCGCGAGCCUGAACCAGCCAAGUAGCGUGAAGGAUGACUGCCCUAUGGGUUGUAAACUUCUUUUAUAAGGGAAUAAAGUGAGGCACGUGUGCCUUAUUGUAUGUACCUUAGGAAUAAGCAUCGGCUAACUCCGUGCCAGCAGCCGCGGUAAUACGGAGGAUGCAAGCGUUAUCCGGAUUUAUUGGGUUUAAAGGGAGCGUAGGCGGACUAUUAAGUCAGCUGUGAAAGUUUACGGCUCAACCGUGAAAUUGCAGUUGAAACUGGUCGUCUUGAGUGCAGGAGAGGAAAGUGGAAUUCCCAGUGUAGCGGUGAAAUGCGUAGAUAUUGGGAGGAACACCAGUAGCGAAGGCGGCUCUCUGGUCUGCAACUGACGCUGAGGCUCGAAAGCAUGGGUAGCGAACA